rnacentral:tRNA from 1 species
GCCGAAGUGGUGGAACUGGCAGACACGCAUGUUUGAGGGGCAUGUGGGGUAACCCAUGGGGGUUCGAGUCCCCCCUUCGGCA